rnacentral:rRNA from 1 species
GACGAACGCUGGCGGCGUGCUUAACACAUGCAAGUCGAACGGAAAGGCCCUGCUUUUGUGGGGUGCUCGAGUGGCGAACGGGUGAGUAACACGUGAGUAACCUGCCCUUGACUUUGGGAUAACUUCAGGAAACUGGGGCUAAUACCGGAUAGGAGCUCCUGCUGCAUGGUGGGGGUUGGAAAGUUUCGGCGGUUGGGGAUGGACUCGCGGCUUAUCAGCUUGUUGGUGGGGUAGUGGCUUACCAAGGCUUUGACGGGUAGCCGGCCUGAGAGGGUGACCGGCCACAUUGGGACUGAAAUACCGCCCAGACUCCCUACAGGAAGCAGCCAGUGGGGAAUAUUGCACAAUGGGCCGAAGCCUGAUGGCAGCCACGCCCCGUGCGGGAUGGACCGCCUUCGGGUUGUAAACCGCCUUCGCCUGGUGACCAAACGUGAGUGACCGGAAUGGGUAAAGAAGCACCGGGUAACUACGUGCCCACAGCCCCGGUGAUACGUUAGGUGCGAGCCGUGUCCCGAAUUAUUGGGCGUAAAGGGCUCUUAAGUGGGUGAUCCCCGCAGAAAUGGAAUCUUGGGGGCUAAACCUGAACGUGCCUUCCAAAACGGUUUGACUUGAGGAAAGUUAGGGAAAAAGGAAAUUCCUGUGGAAGCGGGGAAAAGCCCCAAAUUCAGGAGGAACCCCGGGGGGGAAGAGGGUUCUCUAGGCCUUUCUUAACCUUAGGACCAAAAGCUGGGGGAACGAACCGGCUAAAAACCCUGGAAGCCCACGCUGUAAACGGUGGGUACUAGUUGGGGGUCCAUUUCCACGGUUCCGUGCCGUAGCUAACCCCUUAAGUACCCCCCCUGGGGAGUACGCCGCCAAGGUAAAACUCAAAGGAAAUGACGGGGCCCCCGCACAAGCGGCGGACCAUCCGGAUUAAUUCGAUGCACCGCGUAGACCCUUACUUGGGUUGAACAUGAUUCGGGAGUGCUCAGAGAUGGGUGUGCCUCUUUUGGGGUCGGUUCACAGGUGGUGCAUGGCUGUCGUCAGCUCGUGUCGUGAGAUGUUGGGUUAAGUCCCGCAACGAGCGCAACCCUUGUUCACUGUUGCCAGCACGUUAUGGCGGGGACUCAGUGGAGACCGCCGGGGUCAACUCGGAGGAAGGUGGGGAUGACGUCAAGUCAUCAUGCCCCUUAUGUCCAGGGCUUCACGCAUGCUACAAUGGCUGGUACAGAGAGUGGCGAGCCUGUAAGGGUGAGCGAAUCUCGGAAAGCCGGUCUCAGUUCGGAUUGGGGUCUGCAACUCGACCUCAUGAAGUCGGAGUCGCUAGUAAUCGCAGAUCAGCAACGCUGCGGUGAAUACGUUCCCGGGGCU